GUUUUUGAACGCACAUUGCACCGACAGUUUACUGUUGGUUUGUUUGUUUGAAUUGCUUGAA
rnacentral:rRNA from 1 species